rnacentral:rRNA from 1 species
UACGGAGGGUGCGAACGUUGUUCGGAAUUACUGGGCGUAAAGCGCGUGUAGGUGGCUUUGUAAGUCAGAUGUGAAAGCCCUCGGCUCAACCGAGGAAGGGCAUUUGAAACUGCGAGGAUAGAGUACGGGAGAGGGUUGUAGAAUUCCAGGUGUAGAGGUGAAAUUCGUAGAUAUCUGGAGGAAUACCGGUGGCGAAGGCGGCAACCUGGACCGAUACUGACACUGAGACGCGAAAGCGUGGGGAGCAAACAGGAUUAGAUACCCCCGUA